UACUCGUAAAAACACAGUUCUACUUCUUCUUUUUUGGCAAAUCUUGUCGCAUGAUAAAUUAUUGUUGUCAGGAUUCGAUCUAUAUAUAAAGGCCCGAGGAGUAAAACUUAAACAAGAAAAUAGGUUUUGAUGUAUGAAAUGUGUUUUAUGGGAGAAGUGGUGGGAUUUGGAGUUGUAUUAGUAGAGGGGUUUGAGGUAAGAGCGGGGGUUAAUGGGAGCCGUUUGAUUUGGGAAGUUAUCGACGGCACCAAGGAAGCAUUUGAGAAGUCUGUAUUUACCAAAACUCAAAAGACAAAUGCACGGACAGGACAGAAGUGCCCUGGUUUGCAAGUGAGACUGUUUAUGUGUUGAUCUCUAGUGAGAGCUAUGUUUAUGUGUGGAGUAUUAUCCAAUCCAUGCGAAGGGGUGCUUUAUACGGAUUCGAAGUUUACCUGGCGGAAAUAGCAAUGUUUGAGAACAACAUCGUUGUUUACAAGUUUGUUCAAGACCUUCACUUUUUCGUUACUGGGGGUGAAGAUGAAAACGAGCUCAUUUUAGCCACUGUUCUUCAGUGAUUUUUCGAUGCUGCUGGCCUUCUUCAUAAUUGCUGUUCCUUUUUACCCUCUUUUUGUAAUUCAAUUGUUGUAAUUAUUCAUUUAUUAACUCUUUUAUAUACUUUCUUUUUUCCCUCAUUCCAGAGGUAAUGUGGACAAGAAAGAGGCACCGGAGAACUUGGAUCUCAUUCUAUUAUGCCUCGAUGAAAUUGUUGACGGCGGAAUUGUUCUUGAGACAGAUGCAAAUAUUAUAGCGGGGAAGGUUGCAAGUAAUAGUAUGGAUGCAUGCUGGAGCUCCUUUGUCUGAGCAGGUAUCAAAAUCCUGUUCUUCCCUCCCUCCCCCAAUUUUCUUUCAUCUCUUCCCAAAGGGAAUGCAGUAAACAUUUAGUUGAACAAAUGGACAACCACUGCUACCAUAUUUAAGUUGUAUCCUUGUUUUGAUUUUUUUUUCACCGACAAUAAGUCAAGCACUGGCCACUGCACGGGAGCAUCUAACAAGAUCUCUUCUUAAAUGAUGCAUAUGCUGUACAAAAGUAGAGGAGGAAGGAGGGAAUGUCUUCUUUUUUCUUUCUUUUUUUUUUUUUUUUUUUUUUCCGGUAUACUUGUGAUCUAGUUUAUAAGCUUCAAAUUUACCUCAAUCUUGCAUACUUGAUUCAGUUGAUAUUCAUGUCCAAAUGUUGAUCUUGUUUUUUUUUUUUUUUGUAAACUUGAUUGGUUUGGACGUCAGAUGCCAAUGCCAGUGGUAUAGAAGAAUUGCUUUUAAACUUUAUGAGAUCAGGCAGUAACAUGCACUCCACCUGUGUACACAUA